GAAAGAGUAGUUUAAUAAAAAUACUGUUUUUGUAAAACAGAGUUACUUAUUUAAGUUUUUUUCA
rnacentral:tRNA from 1 species